AGAAAAAAAGAAAAGCAAGACGCGGGACCCAGGAUGCUUGGUUUUAGCUUUUUUCAUUUUGGACAGACUUGAAUUUGAGUUUGGGUCUUCUACUCUUUUACGAAGCAAGAUGCGGGACAUAAUUCAUUGGUGUGACGUUUUCAGACUGAGGGGAUGGGUUGCACAGAGAGUCAGAGACUUUGCAUUGUUUUUGUUUAGCCCGUGAGUAGAGUGAGAGGACUGAGGAGAGACCGUUAGAUUGAAAACUCAAAAGUUCAAAACCCUAAUAUUUCGAAAGAGGGUCCUCGUCUCAGUGGUGCGUUGUGUUUUUUCUUCAUCUCAGUGAGGUUCUGAUUCACAUUUUGAUGCCUUGGAGUGAUGGAAGGUCAAUGAUCUAAAGUACCGCAUUUUAUCUAAGAUGGCACGUGAUAUUUUGUAAAUUCCAAUUACUACAGUGGCUUCAGAAUCUACAUUUAGUACUGGUGGUAGAGUGAUUGAUCUUUAUUGAGCAUCAAUGUCUGUUGAAACAGCAUAAAUGUUGUUAUGUGGAGCUUAUUGGGUUCGAGUACUUCAUGGUUUGAGAAAAUCAUCAAGUAGAGAAGAACCAACUUAUAAAGAGAUUUUACUGCCCUGACAUGAAUUGCUGGCAAGUUGUAUAUUUUUGCCUUUUGGUAUAAUGUUAUUUAUUAUUAAAUUGUUAUUUUGUUAUAUCAUAUUGCUAAUGAUAUCUUGUGUGUUUUGUAUUAUAGGUUGAUGAGGAUUGGCUUCUGGCUGGUUUUUUUUUUUUGAAUUGAUCUACUAAAAAUAUUUAAAGGAAGUAUGCUUAUAAGACAUGUUGUUUAAGUAGAGAUGUAAUUAUUUUUGUGAAAAAACCUUGUUGACUCGUCGGAGCUGUCCGGUUAGACAAGAUUGCUGGAAAUUUGGAUUUUUUUUUAAAGUUUGGACAUAUAGGUAAUUUCAUUACUUGUAUAAUUGACUAAAAUUGCAGAAGUAUAUGGAAUGUUGCAAACCACUAUUUUUGUACGUGAUGGAGAAAUAUGGAUAACAUGCAGUAAUUUUUUGUAGUGUUUUAUUUU